UACGAAGGGGGCUAGCGUUGCUCGGAAUCACUGGGCGUAAAGCGCACGUAGGCGGCUUUUUAAGUCAGGGGUGAAAUCCUGGAGCUCAACUCCAGAACUGCCUUUGAUACUGAGAGCUUGAGUCCGGGAGAGGUGAGUGGAACUGCGAGUGUAGAGGUGAAAUUCGUAGAUAUUCGCAAGAACACCAGUGGCGAAGGCGGCUCACUGGCCCGGUACUGACGCUGAGGUGCGAAAGCCAGGGGAGCAAAGCGGG
rnacentral:rRNA from 1 species